CUUGAUGCAGACGUCCUUUUGGAUUUCUUUUUAAUAAUGUGUGACCCUUCACCUUUGAUCCCUUGACCUGCAUUACCUUGGAAAUUGCAGCUUAUUUAAUAACAUUUGAAAAGCAUGAAGAAUGGCUAACAACUUCCCCUAAAACAAGACCGCAGAAUGGUUCUAUGAUACUGUACAAUAGGAAGAAGGUGAAAUACAGGAAAGAUGGAUAUUGCUGGA